CCCCUAGAUGUUCUGGGCCGCACGCGCGCUACACUGAACAGUUCAACAAGUCUUAACCUUGGCCGAUAGGUCUGGGUAAUCUUUGAACGCUGUUCGUGAUUGGGAUAGACCUUUGCAAUUAUGGGUCUUCAACGAGGAAUUCCUAGUAAACGCAAGUCAUCAACUUGCAUUGAUUACGUCCCUGCCCUUUGUACACACCGCCCGUCGCACCUACCGAUUGAAUGGUCCGGUGAAAUCUCGGGACGGCGGCUCGGUCGCUUGCGUCCGACUGCUGAAACUUGAUUAAACCAUAUCAUUUAGAGGAAGGUGAAGUCGUAACA
rnacentral:rRNA from 1 species